ACGACCGCUCCGGUGGCCUAGUGGUUAGAGCGUCCGCUUCGGAUGCGGAAAGUCGUGGGUUGGAUCCCAGGCCGUCAUA